AACAAUUGUCGCAUGUCUUCUGACAGGACUACCGUCAUGUCGUUAGUACUUCAGGUGCAAUAAAUAUCUGUAUGGAUCCGCAUUCCCUGACCGUGCUCGUGAACCUUAUUUUGCAAUUCCUGAAAUUGAAAUAAGGUCACCGUUUAAUAGAAUUCAAGAGAAAAGAAAACAAAUGACAUGUUUAUGUUCAUCAACGCCAUUUGUUCAUUAGGGAUAUGUUGUUUACACAAAAUUGUUUUAAAUCUUAUCUCCUGGGAUUUGCUCAAUGGCCGAGGGCAAAUCGCAGCUGCAGCACGUUGUCUCGUUAUUAUCACCCAGUAAGGCCUGAAAGGACAAAUAUGCUACCUGCCUUUGUAUAUAUCGACAGGUUUUAACGUAGCAUCAACGAAUACAGUGAGAAAUGGCAGCUGCAGCGUGUGCCUCGUUGGAGGAAACAGAGAGCUUCAUAACAUGUAGUAUUUGCUUGUGUGAAUUUGAUGCAGAAUUCAGGAAGCCCAAAUUUUUGCCUUGUGCUCACACUGUUUGCCUUAAAUGUUUAGAGGAGAUUCACAAAAAUUUUGUCAUAGCUUGCCCACUCUGUCGAAAAGAGUUCUCGUAUCAGGACAAUGUCACAUGCCUUCCCAACAACUCUUAUGUGCUGCACAUGCUAAGGUUAACAGAAAAAAAUGCAGAACCUGCAAGUAAACCUGAUCUAGAGGGGAAACCUACAUGGUGCCUCACAUGUGGUGCCGUGGCUAAACAAAGCUGUUCUGUUCAUUCCAUUAUUGAUGUUACAGCCAACACAAUCAAGAAUUUUGAAUCACUCUUGAAUCUCAGAGAUGAUCUCAAGAAAAUGAGGGAUCAAGGCCAAACAAAAUUAGCCUUGGCCAUUGAAAAGAGAAAAGAAAUUCAGACCCAUUUUCAGCAACUAUCUCAGUCAUUGAAAUUGGUUUUGCAUGAAGUCACUGUACAAGAAGAUCAAAAUAAUCUCCUUCUUGUUGAAAUGAUUUCUCAACUAGAGGCGAACAGUCCUCAAUUACGAUCUCGCCUUUCAUCCUCCGAAAUGAUAACAGGACAAGACGACCAAGAUCCUAUUUUAUCCGAAUUGAUGUCUGUAGUCGAUGGUUCCAAACCAGAAGAUAGUUUUGAAAUUCUCAAAGAAAAAAUGAAGAAAACUCUCCAGUCCUACGAGAGCAAGCUGGCCGAAGCAGUUGCCAUGGCCAAGUCUAUCACGUAUCAAAAGAAGAGCAUAAUAUCUGUUUGGCUUACUGACUCCAACAAUCAAGCCAUUCCCACAUGGGACUUGCUGGAAUCGGGGUUCAACACGUAUUGGCCAAAUGACACCUGUUUGUCGCCAACAAAACGCGAUUUUCUGCUUUUGUCUCACAUCGUGUUUUCUAUACAAAAGAGGGGACAGAAGAUAAACAAACAAUCAAAUUCAGAUUUCUCUGCUGUGUCCUCCAAGGCGAAACCUGUUGCGACCAAAUUAGGUGAACCUAGUUCCUUAGUGAAGACUGAAAGUUCCUUAGUGAAGACUGAAAAUACUAAUACAACGGUCAAGUUGGAUCCCUCAACCGAAAAAUUUGAUCUCAACAAGUCGACAUUGGUAGUGGUUGUCCGUCGACACGGCACUUUAAAGGGCGCUGUCCAUAUCAGGCUGUCCUCUAGCUGUGAUUCACCAUUCAUGCAGCAAUUGGGUAAAAUCUGCUUCCACUCGUCGAAACAAUUUAGCAAUGCCAUUGGAAAAACUGUUCCCGAUGUGUUUCUCUUGCUUCCGGCCUGUAAGGACCUGGCGGAUUUUUCCUACAACGGGUUGACUGGUCUUCCGCCUACACGCCACUACAUGGAAGCCGGAAUAUCUUUGUGUCCGGAUGAAAAGGGCGUUUUUAAUAGCUGGAAUUUAGUUUUUGCUCUUCGGCAUUUUGAGCAGAAAAAGAACGAGAUGCACUUGAAAACUAUCCAGCCCAUCCAUUUUAUUGGCCAAGUGACAGAGGGCAUAGAUGUUAUCGAAAUGCUCAGUUGGACGACCAAGCACCAGAGAAGUGGGUACACUUUCACUCUGGAAUCGCGUUAGUAAGCUUCCAGCACACGACUAGCGUUUAGGAGGAGCGAAUUUUAACAAAUGAAGUGAUUUUGCCAUUAUAAUUUUUGGAGGAAAUUAUGAGUAGACCUAGGCUGCAAUUCCCUGCAUCCAUCCACUGGGAAGGUCACGUUGAAUUUAAGCUAUAGCGUUUGGGCUUCUUUUUGAGGCGAUAAAGGAAUUGGCGGCCAGUAAACUGUUGACAGUGAUGAUUAAAAGGCCACAAAUUGCCAUACAGAAAUCCAAGGCAACUCUGUUACCUGAAAAAUCAAGGUGUUUUUAGUUUAAGAGCCCAAGUCCACAUUUGUGUUUUCCGAAAAAAUAUUAAGGAUUCAAUAUCGUACAUAAUUUCAAUCCAUAGACUAUCGUGGGAAUCAACUUGCAAUUGUGGAGUAAUCCUUGAUUGCUUCUAAGGCUCUUUGAGUAAGAAAUCAGUAGCGUGAUACCAAUCAACGAAGCCUUCACUGCCAUUCCAAUGAUGAUUCUCUUGGUUUUCAGCCUGUAAACAUAGUUUGUGUAAAACAACAUAGCACUUACAGGCUUUAAGAUGCUCACGUGAAACUCACUUUUUACUGAUGAGAAAAAGAGCAAAUACGACCAGGAAGAUUGCUCCCCAGAUCUCUACAGAAGCACCGCUUGAAGCCGUGAAGCCUAAGAUGACGAAAAGACCCAAGAAUAGGUUACUUAUUGCAAGAACAGUCUCCAUAUGAAGAAAACGAUCAGAUCUGUGCAGAAAUUGGUCAAUUCAUUCAUCGAACGGAAAUGGGUGUUCUGUAAGUGCCAUUCCCAAACUGAAAAACGAAUCUAUACUGUGUAUGGUAUGUAGACUAAUGAGCUCAUAGAUGAAAGGAAGUGAAUCAGCUAAAGUGAUAACGAGAAGGUCGUGAGUACUGUAAAGUCAGCAUGAUGUUAAAUCGCUGAUAAGGAGGAAAACAAAACCAGAAAGGUAAAAUAAUCAUGCGCGAAAAGUAAAGAAUUGGCGCCAACCGCUAGGUGGCUUCCGGGGUUCUCGCAACGUGUUCGAGCAAUUCAACUUGUGAAAUUUUGUAGUCCACAGACUCUACACGAGAACGUGUAAAGUCAAUCAUUAUUUGAUUUGUUUGAAAGGCACUGCAAGGUUUCGAUGUAUUCUUGACAAUGAAUAUAUAUUUAGUAAACAGAAGUCAAAUGCAAUAAUAAAGGCACAAACAAUUCAGGCAGUUUAAGAGAGACGUUUCAAUGGGUGUAGAACUACCACUAGAAGGGGUGGACGACCCACGACGUGAGUUUGUUUGAAAAGAUAAAUGUCUACGGACACUAGCUGCAUUGCUGCUGGUAGCUGACGAAACGGUGGCUGUAUCGUCAUCUGCCGAACAACUGUAGUUGAUGUUACAGUGCAUGGCAAAACCUUUCGUUAGAACGGCGUUCUUGCAACGCUAUUCGUUGAUUUUUAGUCCGUUUUUUUAGUUUGCAGUUUGUCACCGGAGUCUUGCUUACCGUGUAUUGCCAUAUGUUUUGCAGUUUACGUUUGCCGAGCAUUGUAAAGAGGCAAAGAAAAAAGUAUUUCAAACACACAGAUGCUAAGGA
rnacentral:misc_RNA from 1 species